AACGUAGGUGGCAAGCGUUGUCCGGAAUUACUGGGUGUAAAGGGAGCGCAGGCGGGUGUGCAAGUUGAAUGUGAAAACUAUGGGCUCAACCCAUAGACUGCGUUCAAAACUGCGCAUCUUGAGUGAUGUAGAGGUAGGCGGAAUUCCCGGUGUAGCGGUGGAAUGCGUAGAUAUCGGGAGGAACACCAGUGGCGAAGGCGGCCUACUGGGCAUCAACUGACGCUGAGGCUCGAAAGUAUGGGGAGCAAACAGG
rnacentral:rRNA from 1 species